AUUGUCUUCUAAAUAAGGACUAGUAUGAAUGGCACCACGAGGGCUUAACUGUCUCCCCCCUCUAAUCAAUGAAACUGAUCUUCUCGUGAAGAAGCGAGAAUAAAUAUAUAAGACGAGAAGACCCCAUGGAGCUUUAAACUCAUCACCAUUUACUAAAAAUUAAACCACUAUAAAAAGUAAAAAUGUUCUUGAUAGUUUUCGGCUGGGGUGACCCUGGAGUAAAACAAACCCUCCAGAAUGAAAGGAAAAAAAUCCUAAUCCAAGAACCACAAUCCUAAGAAUCAAAAAUUUGACAUUAGUGAUCCAAUUACUUGAUCAACGAACCAAGUUACCCUGGGGAUAACAGCGCAAUCCAUUUCAAGAGCCCCUAUCGACAAAUGGGUUUACGACCUCGAUGUUGGAUCGGGGUAUCCUGGUGGCGCAGCCGCUACCAAUGGUUCGUUUGUUCAACGAUUAACAACCCCACGUGAUCUGAGUUCAGACCGGA
rnacentral:rRNA from 1 species